rnacentral:rRNA from 1 species
UACGAGGGAGGCAAGCGUUGUUCGGAAUUAUUGGGCGUAAAGGGCGCGUAGGCGGCGCCACAAGUCACUUGUGAAACCUCUAGGCUCAACUCAGAGCCUGCAAGCGAAACUGUGGUGCUGGAGUAUGGGAGAGGUGCGUGGAAUUCCCGGUGUAGCGGUGAAAUGCGUAGAUAUCGGGAAGAACACCUGUGGCGAAAGCGGCGCACUGGACCAUAACUGACGCUGAGGCGCGAAAGCUAGGGGAGCAAACAGG